rnacentral:rRNA from 1 species
AAGCGGUGGAUGAUGUGGAUAAUUCGAUGCAACGCGAAGUAACCUUACCUACCCUUCGACAUAGUCCGGAACUUGCCAGAGAUGGCUGGUGCCCGAAAGGGAAUCGGAACACAGGUGCUGCAUGGCUGUCGUCAGCUCGUGUCGUGAGAUGUUGGGUUAAGUCCCGCAACGAGCGCAACCCUUAUCAUAGUUGCUAACGCGUGAAGGCGAGCACUCUAGACGAACUGCCGUUGACAAAACGGAGGAAGGUGGGAUGACGUCAAAUCAUCAUGCCCCUUAUGUUCUGGGCUACACACGUGCUACAAUGGCCGGUACAGACGGACGCAAAGCCGCGAGGUGGAGCAAAUCCUAAAAAGCCGGUCUCAGUUCGGAUUGCAGGCUGCAAUUCGCCUGCAUGAAGUCGGAAUCGCUAGUAAUCGCAGGUCAGCAUACUGCGGUGAAUACGUUCCCGGGCCUU